rnacentral:rRNA from 1 species
UACGUAGGGGGCAAGCGUUGUCCGGAUUUAUUGGGCGUAAAGAGCGUGUAGGCGGCCAGAUAGGUCCGUUGUGAAAACUGGAGGCUUAACCUCCAGCGGUCGAUGGAAACCAUUUGGCUAGAGUCCGGAAGAGGAGAGUGGAAUUCCUGGUGUAGCAGUGAAAUGCGUAGAUAUCAUGAGGAAUACCAGAGGCGAAGGCGGCUACCUGGACAAUUGCUGACGCUCAGGCACGAAAGCAUGGGGAGCAAAAGGG